rnacentral:misc_RNA from 1 species
GAAAACUUCAUUCAAGCACCAUCAGAGCUAAAAUUCCAAGGCAACUGAAAAGAACUACGAAGAAUAUUUCCAUCUGAGCUAAUGAGAAAUAGUAUGCUAACUCUUGAAAAAAAAUUAGGGUCAUUUACAAGUUAGUUCUCGAGGAACGCCAAAAAUCAUAGGUCAGUCCCUCAAUUUUCAAGAUGAAACAAGUUAGCUCUUGAGAUUUGAUUUUGAAAACAGAAUGGUCCAUCGGUCCAAAUUUAGUCCAAUUUAC